AACCUUUACACUGCACGACAGUGCGAUAAGGGAAUCCCAAGUGCGUAGGCAUAGAGCCUACGCUUUUGUCCACCGUAGGGAGGUGGACGAAUAAGGGCUGGGCAAGACCGGUGCCAGCCGCCGCGGUAAUACCGGCAGCCCGAGUGAUGGCCGAUCUUAUUGGGCCUAAAGCGUCCGUAGCUGGCCGCGCAAGUCUAUCGGAAAAUCCACCCGCUCAACGGGUGGGCGUCCGGUAGAAACUGCGUGGCUUGGGACCGGAAGGCGCGACGGGUACGUCCGGGGUAGGAGUGAAAUCCUGUAAUCCUGGACGGACCACCAAUGGGGAAACCACGUUGAGAGACCGGACCCGACAGUGAGGGACGAAAGCCAGGGUCUCGAACCGGAUUAGAUACCCGGGUAGUCCUGGCUGUAAACAAUGCCUGCUAGGUGUGGCUCCCACUACGAGUGGGUGCUGUGCCGUAGGGAAGCCGCUAAGCAGGCCGCCUGGGAAGUACGUCCGCAAGGAUGAAACUUAA
rnacentral:rRNA from 1 species